rnacentral:rRNA from 1 species
GACGAACGCUGGCGGCGUGCUUAACACAUGCAAGUCGAACGGUGAAGGGACCGGUUUUUGCUGGUUCUGGAUGAGUGGCGCACGGGUGAGUAACACGUGAGUCACCUGCCCCCUUCUUCUGUAUAACCGCAUGAAAGUGUGGCUAAUACGGGAUAUUCUGCGCCUGCUGCAUGGUGGGUGUGGGAAAGAUAUUGUUUCGGUGGGGGUUGGGCUCGCGGCCUCUCAGCUUGUUGGUGGGGUGAUGGCGUACCCAGGCGGUGACGGGUAGCCGGCCUGGGAGGGUGGACGGUCACACUGGGACUGAGACACGGCCCAGACUCCUACGGGAGGCAGCAGUGGGGAAUAUUGCACAAUGGGCGCAAGCCUGAUGCAGCGACGCCGCGUGAGGGAUGGAGGCCUUCGGGUUGUAAACCUCUUUCGCCAGUGAAGCAGGCCUGUCCCUUUUGUGGGUGGGUUGACGGUAGCUGGAUAAGAAGCGCCGGCUAACUACGUG